UACUUUCUUAUAGCCCAGGCCGGACAUUAACAAGAUGUGAUUUCUGGUCUUUGGCCUUUGAAGAGGUUGAAGCACAGAUUGCUGAUCAGUGCUUUCAAGUCAUAACUGCUCUUGGAGCUUCACAGGGCAAAGACGUCCACACUUUCAGCAUCUAUUUGGUGGUUACCUGGUUACCACCAUUUCACAAUGAUCCCCUUGCAGCUUUACCUGACAAUAUUGGAACAAAGGACAUCAUUUUACUCCCUUCGUGGGAGUCCGGGCACUGGAUUUUGUGUGUAAGUUAGCAAAUUUUCCAAGUGAGAUACUUUAUUAAC